rnacentral:rRNA from 1 species
UACAGAGGUCUCGAGCGUUAGGCGGAAUCACUGGGCUUAAAGCGUGUGUAGGCGGCGGGCUAAGUACCUUGUGAAAUCCCACGGCUUAACUGUGGAACUGCUGGGUAUACUGGUUCGCUUGAGCGGUCUAGGGGCGAGCGGAACAAAUGGUGGAGCGGUGAAAUGCGUAGAUAUCGUUUGGAACGCCAAUGGUGAAAACAAGUAGCUGGGGAUGUGCCGACGCUGAGACACGAAAGCCAGGGGAGCGAACGGG